rnacentral:rRNA from 1 species
GAUGAACGCUGGCGGCGUGCCUAAUACAUGCAAGUCGAGCGAAUGACGAGGAGCUUGCUCCUCUGAUUUAGCGGCGGACGGGUGAGUAACACGUGGGUAACCUGCCUGUAAGACGGGGAUAACUCCGGGAAACCGGAGCUAAUACCGGAUGAUAACGAGAAGCGCCUGCUUCUUUUUUGAAAGUCGGUUUCGGCUGACGCUUACAGAUGGGCCCGCGGCGCAUUAGCUAGUUGGUGAGGUAACGGCUCACCAAGGCGACGAUGCGUAGCCGACCUGAGAGGGUGAUCGGCCACACUGGGACUGAGACACGGCCCAGACUCCUACGGGAGGCAGCAGUAGGGAAUCUUCGGCAAUGGACGAAAGUCUGACCGAGCAACGCCGCGUGAGCGAUGAAGGCCUUCGGGUCGUAAAGCUCUGUUGUCAGAGAAGAACAAGUACCGGAGUAACUGCCGGUACCUUGACGGUACCUGACCAGAAAGCCACGGCUAACUACGUGCCAGCCGCCGCCGUAA